GCCACGGUGGUCUAGGGGUUAGAACGCUGGCCUUGUAAUCCUGGAGGGUCUCGGGUUCGAUUCCCGGCGGUGCCC
rfam:Zootermopsis nevadensis contig21778, whole genome shotgun sequence.